GUGCUUAACACAUGCAAGUCGAGUGCGCGUGCCGUAGCAAUACGGUAUGGCGCACGGCGCACGGGUGCGUAACACGUGGGCAAUCUGCCCUCCGGUGGGGAAUAACCCCGCGAAAGCGGGGCUAAUUCCGCAUAACAUUCCCUGGACUCUGGUUCGGGGACUCAAAGCAGCAAUGCGCCGGAGGAGGAGCCCGCGCCCGAUUAGCUAGUUGGUGAGGUAACGGCUCACCAAGGCAAUGAUCGGUAGCUGGUCUGAGAGGAUGGCCAGCCACACUGGAACUGAGACACGGUCCAG
rnacentral:rRNA from 1 species